CUGCCAUGCAUAUCUCUUAGCCACAUGUUCAACAUGUAAACAUAUUACCCCCAAAAUCAAAUCUGCUAAAAUAAAUCUUUUGUGCAUUAUGGAAAACUUCAAACAUAUACAAAAGUCAAGGAGCCACCAAUGUUCAGGCACUCAUUAUCCUCAACUCAUGGCCAAUCCCACUUCGUCCAUCCCUAGCCAUAUAUUUUGAAGCAAACCUCAGAGAUGGUAUCAUGUCAUCUGCAAAUGUCACUGCGCUUCUAAAGACUGAGAAUGCUCUUUUACAACAUGGUACUGGGAUCACAACUCUGGUAAAAAGUAAUGAUGAUUCCUUAAUAUCAUCAAAAAGCCAAUCAGUGUUCAAUUUUUUUUUUUAGCAGCAUCCAGUCUGAUACAUCAGGGUUGGGAUUUGCACCUUGCAAAUUGUUUUAGGAAACAGCCGGAGGCUGUCCGGGUGAAUGAUUCCAUCCCUCCGUUUUCUUCACAGACAGGAACGUCAUAGCCAAACCCACAGUGGGUUUUGCCAAGAACUCCAAAAAAGACAAUCACGUGUCAAAUAACCAUGGAGACGCGGUUACAAAAGGAACACUUAUUCCUUGCUCCCUUGUUUAGCUGCUGAGCACUGAUGCAGGAGGCAGGCACCGCCUGGGGCUGCACACACCUGACGGUGUGCUCCUGGUCAGCUCCGCCUGAGCCUGCAAGGACUCGUCCAGCUGCUGUCAGUGUCAGCGCCGGGGAUUAGCGUGCCCUCCUGGGGGAGUCCAGCUGACCGCAGCGCUGGAAGAAUCGGAAUCUCCAGACUGUCCUUGUUAGUUUCUUCUAAUGGUUCAGCAGCAGUUUGAUAUGAAUCCAGCAGAGGACUUAUCUGAGGGAGCCACAGAGUGCCCAUCCACUGGACAUUUCUGUCUUGUUGUCAACGAAUCACUUGGCAUUGACCCAGGAGUCAGAUUAACCGGGUUAGAAAUCCCAAGUCUGCCAGUCACUAGCUGCAGGAUCUCGAGCAGAUCACAUCACCUCUUGUGCCUCAGUUUCCUCAUCUGCAAAGUGGCAGCCUGGGUAGAUGACUUGUGA
rnacentral:lncRNA from 1 species